CCAAGGGAACGAGCUUGGCAGAAUCAGCAGGGAAAGAAGACCUUGUUGAGCUUAACUCUAGUCUGACUUUAUGAAAUGACUUCAGAGGUGUAGGAUAAGUGGGAGCCAAAAGGCAAAAGUAAAAUACCACCACUUUUAACAUUAUUUUACUUAUUUCGUAAAUUGGAGGCAGGGCACUGUUCCUCUUUUUGGACCCAAGGCUCACUUUGUGGGCUUAUCCGAGCUAAACACAUUGUCGAUGAGGAGUUUGGCUGAGGCGGCACAUUUGUUAAAAGAUAAUGUAGGUGUCCUAAAAUGAGCUCAACGAGAAAAAAAAUUUCGUGUGGAAUAGAAGAGUAAAAGCUCUUUUGAUUCUGAUUUACAGUACGAAUACGAACUGUGAAAGUUUCGCCUAAUGAUCCUUUAGACCUUUGAAAUUUGAAGCUAGAGGUGUCAAAAAAGUUACCACAGGGAUAACUAGUUUGUGGCAGCCAAGCGUUCAUAACAUGUUGCUUUUUGAUCCUUCGAUGUCGGCUCUUCCUAUCAUUGUUAAGCAAAAUUCACCAAGUGUCAGAUUGUUCACCCACCAAUAGGAAACGUGAGCUGGAUUAUGACUAAAUGUCGACAGGCUAGUUUUAUCCUAUUGAUGAUAGUGUCACAGUAGUAAUUCAACCUAGUAUGAGAGAAACCAUUGAUUCACACAAUUUGUCAUCGCGCUUGGUUGAAAAACCAGUGGCGUGAAGCUACCAUGCACUGGUUUAUGACUGAAUGACUCUAAGUUGGAAUUCGGGCUAGAAGCGAUGCGCGCAUCCGCCAUUCACUUGUUGACCCACAGUAGGGGCCUCACGGCCCCAGGGGCACAUGUCGUUGGCAAAGCCCUUACAGUGGACGUGCUGCGUCGGUCGC
rnacentral:rRNA from 1 species